UACGAAGGGUGCAAGCGUUACUCGGAAUUACUGGGCGUAAAGCGUGCGUAGGUGGUUUGUUAAGUCUGUUGUGAAAGCCCCGGGCUCAACCUGGGAAUGGCAAUGGAUACUGGCAAGCUAGAGUGCGGUAGAGGGUAGUGGAAUUCCCGGUGUAGCGGUGAAAUGCGUAGAGAUCGGGAGGAACACCAGUGGCGAAGGCGGCUACCUGGACCAGCACUGACACUGAGCCACGAAAGCGUGGGGAGCAAACAGG
rnacentral:rRNA from 1 species